rnacentral:rRNA from 1 species
AUCGAACGCUGGCGGCAUGCUUUACACAUGCAAGUCGAACGGUAACAGGCCUUCGGGUGCUGACGAGUGGCGAACGGGUGAGUAAUGCAUCGGAACGUGCCCAGAGGUGGGGGAUAACGCAGCGAAAGCUGUGCUAAUACCGCAUGUGAUCUGAGGAUGAAAGCGGGGGACCAGGCAGCAAUGUUUGGCCUCGCGCCUUUGGAGCGGCCGAUGUCAGAUUAGGUAGUUGGUGGGGUAAGGGCCUACCAAGCCGACGAUCUGUAGCUGGUCUGAGAGGACGACCAGCCACACUGGGACUGAGACACGGCCCAGACUCCUACGGGAGGCAGCAGUGGGGAAUUUUGGACAAUGGGCGCAAGCCUGAUCCAGCAAUGCCGCGUGCGGGAAGAAGGCCUUCGGGUUGUAAACCGCUUUUGUACGGAACGAAAAGGCUCUGGCUAAUACCUGGGGCUGAUGACGGUACCGUAAGAAUAAGCACCGGCUAACUACGUG